UACGAAGGGGGCUAGCGUUGCUCGGAAUCACUGGGCGUAAAGCGCACGUAGGCGGACUCUUAAGUCGGUGGUGAAAUCCUGGAGCUCAACUCCAGAACUGCCUUCGAUACUGAGAGUCUCGAGUCCGGGAGAGGUGAGUGGAACUGCGAGUAUAGAGGUGAAAUUCGUAGAUAUUCGCAAGAACACCAGUGGCGAAGGCGGCUCACUGGCCCGGUACUGACGCUGAGGUGCGAAAGCGUGGGGAGCAAACAGG
rnacentral:rRNA from 1 species